rnacentral:rRNA from 1 species
GACGAACGCUGGCGGCGUGCUUAACACAUGCAAGUCGAACGGAAAGGCCCUGCUUUUGUGGGGUGCGCGAGUGGCGAACGGGUGAGUAACACUUGAGUAAGCUGCCCUUGACUUUGGGGUAACUUCAGGAAACUGGGUCUAAUAGCGGAUAGGAGCUCCUGCUGCAUGGUGGGGGUUGGAAAGUUUCGGCGGUUGGGGAUGGACUCGCGGAUUAUCAGCUUGUUGGUGGGGUAGUGGAUUACCAAGGCUUUGACGGGUAGCCGGCCUGAGAGGGUGACCGGCCACAUUGGGACUGAGAUACGGCACAGCCUCGUACGGGAGGCAGCAGUGGGGAAUAUUGUACAAUGGGCGGAAGCAUGACGCAGCAACGCCGCGUGCGGGAUGACGGCCUUCGGGUUGUAAACCGAUUUUGCCUGUGACGAAGCGUGAGUGACGGUAAUGGGUAAAGAAGCACCGGCUAACUACGUG